AACGAACGCUGGCGGCAUGCCUAACACAUGCAAGUCGAACGAGACCUUCGGGUCUAGUUGCGCACGGGUGCGUAACGCGUGGUAACCUGCCCUUAGGUUCGGAAUAACUCCCCGAAAGGUGUGCUAAUACCGGAUAAUCUCUUCGGACCAAAGAUUUAUCGACUUUGGAUGGGCCCGCGUUGGAUUAGCUUGUUGGUAGGGUAAUAGCCUACCAAGGCGACGAUGCAUAGCUGGUCUGAGAGUAUGAUCAGCCACACUGGCACUGAGACACGGCCCAGACUCCUACGGGAGGGAGCAGUGGGGAAUAUUAGACAAUGGGCGAAAGGCUGUUCCAGCAAUGCCGCGUGAGUGAUGAAGGCCUUAGGAUUGUAAAGCUCUUUUACCCGGGAUGAUAAUGACAGUACCGGGAGAAUAAGCUCCGGCUAACUCCGUG
rnacentral:rRNA from 1 species